rnacentral:rRNA from 1 species
GGCAGACGGGUGAGUAACAUGUAGGUAUCUGCCCUUUGGCCUGGAAUAACACGAGGAAACUUGUGCUAAUACCGGAUAAGUCUUUACGGAGAAAGCUUUAUGCACCAUUGGAUGAGCCUGCACUUGAUUAGUUUGUUGGUGGGGUAAUGGCCUACCAAGACUUUGAUCAAUAGCUGAUUUGAGAGGAUGAUCAGCCACAUUGGGACUGAGACACGGCCCAAACUCCUACGGGAGGCAGCAGUGGGGAAUCUUGCACAAUGGAGGAAACUCUGAUGCAGCGAUGCCGCGUGAGUGAAGAAGGCCUUUGGGUUGUAAAGCUCUUUCGUCGGGGAAGAAAAUGACUGUACCCGAAUAAGAAGGUCCGGCUAACUUCGUGCCAGCAGCCGCGGUAAUACGAAGGGACCUAGCGUAGUUCGGAAUUACUGGGCUUAAAGAGUUCGUAGGUGGUUGAAAAAGUUGGUGGUGAAAUCCCAGAACUUAACUCUGGAACUGCCAUCAAAACUUUUCAGCUAGAGUUUGAUAGAGGAAAGCAGAAUUUCUAGUGUAGAGGUGAAAUUCGUAGAUAUUAGAAAGAAUACCAAUUGCGAAGGCAGCUUUCUGGAUCAUUACUGACACUGAGGAACGAAAGCAUGGGUAGCGAAGAGGAUUAGAUACCCUCGUAGUCCAUGCCGUAAACGAUGUGUGUUAGACGUUGGGAAUUUAUUCUCAGUGUCGCAGCGAAAGCGAUAAACACAC